AUUGAACGCUGGCGACAUGCCUUACACAUGCAAGUCGAACGGCAGCACGGGUGCUUGCACCUGAUGGCGAGUGGCGAACGGGUGAGUAAUACAUCGGAACAUGUCCUGUAGUGGGGGAUAGCCCGGCGAAAGCCGGAUUAAUACCGCAUACGAUCUACGGAUGAAAGCGGGGGACCUUCGGGCCUCGCGCUAUAGGGUUGGCCGAUGGCUGAUUAGCUAGUUGGUGGGGUAAAGGCCUACCAAGGCGACGAUCAGUAGCUGGUCUGAGAGGACGACCAGUCACACUGGGACUGAGACACGGCCCAGACUCCUACGGGAGGCAGCAGUGGGGAAUUUUGGACAAUGGGCGAAAGCCUGAUCCAGCAAUGCCGCGUGUGUGAAGAAGGCCUUCGGGUUGUAAAGCACUUUUGUCCGGAAAGAAAUCCUUGGCCCUAAUACGGUCGGGGGAUGACGGUACCGGAAGAAUAAGCACCGGCUAACUACGUG
rnacentral:rRNA from 1 species